rnacentral:rRNA from 1 species
UACGUAGGUCCCGAGCGUUGUCCGGAUUUAUUGGGCGUAAAGCGAGCGCAGGUGGUUUAUUAAGUCUGGUGUAAAAGGCAGUGGCUCAACCAUUGUAUGCAUUGGAAACUGGUAGGCUUGAGUGCAGGAGAGGAGAGUGGAAUUCCAUGUGUAGCGGUGAAAUGCGUAGAUAUAUGGAGGAACACCGGCGGCGAAAGCGGCUCUCUGGCCUGUAACUGACACUGAGGCUCGAAAGCGUGGGGAGCAAACAGG